rnacentral:rRNA from 1 species
UCGGGAAUUUUGGGCAAUGGGCGAAAGCCUGACCCAGCAACGCCGCGUGAGGGAUGAAGUAUUUCGGUAUGUAAACCUCGAAAGAAUGGGAAGAAUAAAUGACGGUACCAUUUAUAAGCUCCGGCUAACUACGUGCCAGCAGCCGCGGUAAUACGUAGGGAGCAAGCGUUGUUCGGAUUUACUGGGCGUAAAGGGCGCGUAGGCGGCGCGGUAAGUCACUUGUGAAAUCUCUAAGCUUAACUCAGAACGGCCAAGUGAUACUGCUGUGCUAGAGUGCGGAAGAGGCGACCGGAAUUCUUGGUGUAGCGGUGAAAUGCGUAGAUAUCAAGAGGAACACCUGAGGCGAAGGCGGGUUGCUGGGCCGACACUGACGCUGAUGCGCGAAAGCCAGGGGAGCAAACG